UCUCUUGCCAACAACAACGACCAUCGCCGCCAACGCUACCCCGUGUGCCCUCCUGCUCGGUCCUUCCUGCCACCUGGACCGAGAGGGCACCCCUGCUCUGGCCUAGUUGGAGGACGGCGCAAGGCUGCUGCUCCUCCAUGUAUUCGUUGACAUGCUUCUUUCAUUCGGAGUGAACCCUUGGUUGCUCUGCCUAUAAAUAUGAAGAGGGGUAAAGCUUACUGCGUGCGGGGAUGCCUGCCAUGGAUGUGUGCCGCCGUGGUGGCAAGGAUGCCAACUUGCUGCUGCUCCUUGCCUCUGUAGAGCUGCUGCGCACAGACACCAUCCGCAUUGAAGGUCUCCCCAAGCUCCUGACCCCCCUACCGCCCCAACGUGCCACAACUCCAACACGUUGUUGCUGAUGUUGACCUUCCCAACCCGUCGCUGCAGGC